rnacentral:lncRNA from 1 species
GGCAAAUUCAGUCCACUGGUGACUUAACCGGUGAAACCAAAAGGAUGGGAUUAAUUAAUCUUAAUCUGUACGAUGAAUUAACUGUACAGUGUCUCACAUACAAGAAUCACAUCACAGGAGGAAGGAUAAAGAAACGAAACUACACUGUGCUGACAAAAGGAUCAGCAAAAGGAAUUACAGCCCUUGCCACCUUUAAUUUUGUAGUUGGUUAGGGCAUAGAGCAUUUUCUGAAUUUUGUUGUAUUGACAACUGCAAAUCAUGAUUCCUUCUAUUAAUGAUAAUUAUCCUUUUUCAAUGAAUCACCCAAGAAACUGCAGACUUCAAGCAAAAAGUUAGUGAAGAUCCAAGACCCAAGUCUCAAAAUCUGCAACGAGGUAAUGAUUCUCAGCAAUCAGUAUGCCAUAUCACAUAAUGUUUAAACAGCAACAUACUUUCUGACUAGAUUGUUUUAAGUUUUAUUGUAACAAAGAGGGGAAAAUCUAUCGGAAACAGCCUCUCUACCUUCAAGGUGGGUGUACGGUCUAUUACAUAUACACUACCCUCCCCAUACCACAUUUGUGGAAUUAUACUGGGUUUUUUUUUUUUUUUGUAGUAUUACAAAGAAGGUAAAAACGACUAAAGGAUGUCAUUUUCAUUUUCUAGUUACAGUUAGUCAGAUAGGGUUCUUGUUGCAUGUUUCAGCAAACUUAACCACCAAAAACUGGCAUGCCUACGUAAUUCAUAGGCCAAUUUCAAUAAAUUUGAACUACCCAACAACAAUCUUCAGACAAGGAACCAUGACCAGGUAAAAAAUAAACAACAAAAACAAGGAAAUAAGCUAACCUGAAAUGCUUCAAACUGUCCUCUCUUCCCUUUGAUCUCUCCUGGGAAACAUCCUUUAUAGUCCUUGCCAUCGAGUAAUAAAUCCCACUUUUUAUUCAUUAAUCCAGCUGCUAAGUAAAAAAGAGAAUGAUCAUUAUUAUUAUUGUGCGUUAAGCCACACAGACGCUUAUAUAUAAGCUUAUCGCCAAACUUAUAAGUUUAUAUAUUGGUAGAUAAAGAAAACUGCAUCUUAUAGUCAAGGCUUCAAAGGUUGACAGAAAAUUUGCACGGACUCUUUAAUUAAUUUAAACUAGUAAAUAUAUAUAUAUAAAAUAAUUUACUUAGUAUAAUCAUUCCUAAUAUCAAAAAACAGGAUACUCUUACACCAAAAAAUGUAGCAGAUUAAGAGUAACAAAAUAUGCAUACAUCGUUGAUGAUAGUAUAUGCAUCAAGCUAGUAUUUGACUCCCUAAAUAUUGUCACUUGUGCGACAUUUGUUCUUCUCUUCACCAUUCUUAAUUAACAGCCAAACGAUAUAAAUGAAAGAACCUUCUAGAGAGGAAAAAGAUCAUUUUAAAGAGAUAG